ensembl:lncRNA
CGUGCACGUACGUCUCAUCUGGACACUUCUGCCUGAUGCUUAUCUGGACACUUCUGCCUGAGGCUUCCUGGAAAUGGCUGAAGCAGCAGGAACUCCACCAGCAUGCUAGCCUUCCUGACAGAGGAUCUUUGUGAGUGCUCUGAGUGGCAGGGGCUGCCUGGGAGCCACCUGCAUUUUCCUCCUCUGGGUCCUGGGCUCCUUCAUCAGAUCCUGCACAGGAAGACCCUGCACCAGCAGAGCUAGCAGCCGUGGCUCCCUGAAGCUCCUGGUGAUCGCCAGCAACAGGGGAGCUCGAGGGAGAACCCUGAGGGACAGACGAGGGGAAGGAAGGGCACUCUUUUCCUGGGGCUGCAGCAGCACUGAUCUGGGCCUCCUGAGUGUCCCCCUGGACCUGGUGGCAAUUCCCGUGGGUUUGGUACUUAUUGUUGUGCCUCUGAGGCAUAAUGACACAGAUCAGGAACAACAGGCGAGAAUGCUGGCAGGAAAGCAGGUAAGGAUGGCACCUGGAGGAGGGAUAAGGAGAUAUUGUGAGCACCUUCAGUGGGGAGAUUCCUCCCCGGCAUGAACCAAGGUGGCUUCUGCAGGGUCCUUGAGACCAGGGCUCUGGAACCUACAAGGGCUCUUGUUUUCCUGGUGAGCCUGUCCCCUGAGACUGCUGAACCAGAAGUGAGAGUGAACCCUGGGACCCAGCCAGACACCCCUGCCUGGGUGUUAGAGGGGAGCCAGCCGGGGCUGGCAGGGGAGGCAGUUUCUCUCAGUUCGCAUUCAGAGUCAGGAUGAAAACUGGGGCAAGAUCCCCAUAUUCAAACCCUCCCC